GAUUUACUUAUCAAGCACGAAACCCUAGCCAACCAAGUUAACAGAAAACUUGGUCCUCGUCCGUCUCCGAUCUCAUCGUUUUUCUUUUUCUUCCACGUCGAGGU
rnacentral:sRNA from 1 species